UACGUAGGGUGCAAGCGUUAAUCGGAAUUACUGGGCGUAAAGCGUGCGCAGGCGGUUCGGAAAGAAAGAUGUGAAAUCCCAGAGCUUAACUUUGGAACUGCAUUUUUAACUACCGGGCUAGAGUGUGUCAGAGGGAGGUGGAAUUCCGCGUGUAGCAGUGAAAUGCGUAGAUAUGCGGAGGAACACCGAUGGCGAAGGCAGCCUCCUGGGAUAACACUGACGCUCAUGCACGAAAGCGUGGGGAGCAAACAGGAUUAGAUACCCUGGUAGUCCACGCCCUAAACGAUGUCAACUAGCUGUUGGGGCCUUCGGGCCUUGGUAGCGCAGCUAACGCGUGAAGUUGACCGCCUGGGGAGUACGGUCGCAAGAUUAAAACUCAAA
rnacentral:rRNA from 1 species